CUUUGACUUCACAAAUCUCUCUGACUCAUCUGUGUGCCUGAGAGGAACGUCUGCUGAGGAGGAGAAGAAGAUCGUGGAGAGCUCCAUUCAACCUUACGGCAUUCUGAUACAGGAAUUAAACAACAACAAAAGCAACCGCCAUGAUGCUGUUGACGGCUUACGGAAGAGUCUCUCUGUACCUGGAGAUUUGUCUGUUUCCAACCAUGGACGCAACUUUGAUGAUGACAGUGAUGAUGACAGUGAUGAUGACAGUGAUGAUGACAGCAUCCAUAACACUGGUUCACCUGAAGGCACAGAUGGAUGGAGGGGUCGCUCUGUACGUGAACAAAGGCCAGUUUCCUACCAUGGAACAAGCUUGGAUGAAGCCUCAGGCAUCAUCAGAAGUCACAACAAAGCAGAAGGACAAAAGUCAGUGGAGAGUUUGAUAAUGACGGUUUUAACAAUGCUGGUUCUCCUGGUGGUUUUCUUCAUUUGUUCUAUUCUUCAUGUCUAACACUGUUGAAAUAGAGCCAGAGCAAGUGUCAAAUUGUUGCUCAGGGGGCUUUCAAGAGCUCCUGUUUCCUGUGUCUAUAACUCGACUCUCUUCAUGAUGUAAAAUUUACAUUGAUUUUCAAUCCAUUGUAUAACCUGAUUAACAAAGCUGUGUCCCAAACUGCUGCAUUGGAUAAUCAUCAACAGUAAAACUUUUACUUAACUUACAGAACACACUAGCUUUAGUAAAUAAGCAGACUUUAUGUUAAAGGUCUGAAGUUUCAUUUAAUCAAUCAAUUUCUAACUAUGAAUGAUGGGGGUCCUAUAUGAACACACUGUUUUCUGUUAUUACUGUGUGUCAACAUUAAUCUGUACAGAGAU